UUGAAGUAAAAAGCGUACCAAGUUUUCGGAAGUGGACCUUCGGGAAGGAUCAUUG
rnacentral:rRNA from 1 species